UGAAGAGUUUGAUCCUGGCUCAGCCUGAACGCUGGCGGCAUGGCUAAAACAUGCAAGUCGAGGGAGAAGGGGGCUUCGGCCCCUGGACACCGGCGAAAGGGCGAGUAACGCGAUCGAACGUGCCCCGAGGUAGAGGAUAGCCGUGGGAAACUGCGGGUAAUACUCUAUAAGUUCCAAGGAAGAAAGCUCCGGCGCCUUGGGAGCGGCGAUCGUCCUAUCAGGUUGUUGGUGGGGUAAAGGCCUACCAAGCCGAAGACGGGUAGCGGGUGUGAGAGCAUGGCCCGCCGCAUCGGAACUGAGACACUGUCCGGACUCCUACGGGAGGCUGCAGUAACGAAUCUUCCGCAAUGCGCGAAAGCGUGACGGAGCAAUGCCGCGUGUGGGAUGAAGCGGUUACGCCGUGUAAACCACUGUCAGGACUUAGGAAGAACUGACCGAGUCCAAAGGAAGGGCCGGCUAAUCUCGUGCCAGCAGCCGCGGUAAUACGAAGGGUGCAAGCGUUAUUCGGAUUUACUGGGCGUAAAGCGCGCGCAGGCGGAUUAGUAAGUCAGAUGUGAAAUCUCGGGGCUCAACCCCGAAACUGCGUCUGAAACUACUAAUCUAGAGUUAUGGAGGGGGAAGUGGAAUUUCGCAUGUAGGGGUAAAAUCCGUAGAGAUGCGAAGGAACACCAGAGGCGAAGGCGACUUCCUGGCCAUUAACUGACGCUGAGGCGCGAAAGCGUGGGGAGCAAACAGGAUUAGAUACCCUGGUAGUCCACGCCGUAAACGAUGUGCACUAGUUUGGUGGAGAUCUGACUCUCUGCCAGACGCCGAGAAAUCAUUAAGUGCACCGCCUGGGGAGUACGGUCGCAAGAUUAAAACUCAAAGGAAUUGACGGGGGCCCGCACAAGCGGUGGAGCAUGUGGUUUAAUUCGA
rnacentral:rRNA from 9 species